rnacentral:rRNA from 1 species
CACGUAGGGGACGAGCGUUGUCCGGAUUCAUUGGGCGUAAAGGGCGCGUAGGCGGCCACUGCAAGUCGGUUGUGAAAUCUCCGGGCUUAACCCGGAAAGGUCGAUCGAUACUGCAGGGCUAGAGUGCGGAAGGGGCAACUGGAAUUCUCGGUGUAGCGGUGAAAUGCGUAGAUAUCGAGAGGAACACCUGCGGCGAAGGCGGGUUGCUGGGCCGACACUGACGCUGACAGCGCGAAAGCUAGGGGAGCGAACGGG